rnacentral:lncRNA from 1 species
UUGUUGUUUUGCAAUCUGGAUGCUGGAGAGAACCAGAGAAGUAGAUUUGGAAGUAAAAGAUAUUUAAUUGAAUUGGCUUUUGUUUUGACAGAUGUUUUAUACAGUACUUUGUCUGUUAAGAACAAGAUGUUCCAAUAAAUAUUUGAUAAGUGGGAGAGAAAAUUUACUACGGGGCCAUAAAUCAAUUGGCAAGAGGUCGUAAACUGCAAGAUUGGUGCUCAAAGCAUUUAUUAGAUUAUCAGAAUUUCAGUUUGAUCUGCAGCUUUAUCUACCUUCCCUUAUCCAUCAUUUUUAUGGGACAUGAAAAAGAGUUAUAAAGGAUAAAUUGCAUUUAAAAAAAUUAAAAUAUAGGUUUUAGACAAAGCAGUAUGCCAGGAUAUGG